rnacentral:rRNA from 1 species
UACGGAAGGCAGCAGUGGGGAAUAUUGCACAAUGGGCGCAAGCCUGAUGCAGCCAUGCCGCGUGUAUGAAGAAGGCCUUCGGGUUGUAAAGUACUUUCAGUCGUGAGGAAGGUGUUAAGGUUAAUAACCUUAGCAAUUGACGUUAGCGACAGAAGAAGCACCGGCUAACUCCGUGCCAGCAGCCGCGGUAAUACGGAGGGUGCGAGCGUUAAUCGGAAUUACUGGGCGUAAAGGGCACGCAGGCGGUUAAUUAAGUUGGAUGUGAAUCCCCGGGCUUAACCUGGGAAUGGCAUUCAAGACUGGUUAGCUAGAGUCUUGUAGAGGGGGUAGAAUUCCAUGUGUAGCGGUGAAAUGCGUAGAGAUGUGGAGGAAUACCGGUGGCGAAGGCGGCCCCUGGGACAAAGACUGACGCUCAUGUGCGAAAGCGUGGGGAGCAAACAGGAUUUAGAUACC